rnacentral:tRNA from 1 species
GGGUGUAGUUCAACGGCAGAACUGUAGACUUCAAAUCUACGUGUUGUGGGUUCAAAUCCUGCCACCC